GUAGGAGCCAGGAGGACAAGAGAAAUGGGAAUGUGGCCAUCAGCACACACAGCUGCCUCUUGCAGGGCUCUGCACGCUCGUGUGAUGGGCAGUAGGGCACGGAGCCUGGGGAGCUGGGCAGUGCAAGCAAGCUGUGAGCUGUGGUGGGUUCAGCCUGCUGCAAGAGAAGUUCCUCAGGCCUCUGGGAGCUGAGCUGCAGCGCAUCUGGGGAAGCCUCACACCUACUCGCCCUCUCUCACGCUGCCUGUCCCUGUCCACGGGCUCCAGCCUGCAGGCAGUGCUGCUUCGGGGCUCCCUGGUUCCCAGCGCUUGCGUUGCUUUGGCAGGAAGUGACCAGCUGUUGUGCAGAAAGCUGGCCUCCAGCCAGAGCCCGAGUUCAAACACAGCCCAGCAAAUGGCCUUUCCCCCUUCCUCCGUGCUGAAAGCCUUGCUCACAGCCGUAAUUCUAUUUAUAAUACCCAGGAAAAGCAAGCUGAGACUUUCCCACAGUGCCUGCCUUGCAGGCGAUUGUUGUUCGGGAAGCUGGAAUGUACACGAUAUUAUUUUUGAAUCCCCCGGGAAGGAUUUCAUUGCGCGUCCCUUCGUGUCCCCAUCUGUGCCGAGGAACGUUUUGCUGAGCGCGAGGCCUUUGCUGCUGCUUGCAGCUCUGAGAAGCUUUGCUGAGAUGCUUUGGGUGUCUCUGUGCCUGCAGCACACAUGUGUCCGCCAUCCCCAGUGCUUCUGGGUAUUUUGCAGGGUGCCCAGAUGUGCUGCUAGGAUGGUGGUUCCACCCCUGCCUGCCCGUUCCCAAGGCACUUCUCACUGCCAGUGGGGUCUGUGGCACGUGUGACUCUUCCAUUUGCCAGCACUGCAAAGCAGUGCGCUGCUGUUGUUCUUAGGGCAUUUCUCUGCCUCUUUUUGCUGUCCUUGCUGUACAGCAGCGAGGCUUUGCUGGGCGCUGUCAUCCUGCUGCCUAGAGUGACAGUUCACUAGGCAAGCAGCUUCCCAGCUCCCAAAGCUCUGUGCGUUCUUUUAGCAUGCCAUCCCACGUGGCAGUCCAGCAGAGUGUGUUCCUUUCCCGGCCUGGGAACACUUCUUGUGCUGCAACCACCGUGAGCAAUUUACAAAGUCCUGCUUUUGGGUCCUUCCUUCCCCACAUCUCUGCUGGGAACUGCCGGUGCCCCCAUCCCACCACGGGAGCCCUGGGCUGGGAACACAGCAGUGCCUGCUGCUGGGGAGGUAACGCCGCGAACCAGCCUGCGCAUCUUGCAGCCUCUACAAUAUUGCCAAACCUUGUAACACAGAACCAGAUCCCUUUCCAAACCAGCCCCUUGCAGCCCUUCCUUCCUCUCCAAACUGCACCAAUCUCCAGCCAGAGCGAGCCUUGGGUCUGCCCUGCUUCACCCACCUCGUCGCUUCUGUCCCUGCCUCGCAUCUCCCCGCAGCGGUGUUCGGACGCCUCGCCUCUCUCCCGCUGGCUGAGAGCAGCGUGGAUUUCCUUCCAGCGUGACGGUUGGGGUCACUCUUUCACAACGAGCGCUUUCCUCCCGGUACGAUCAGCUCAGCGUCGCGUCCCGCUGACGCCCAACCAGGAUUUCAAGCUUUUGGGACUGCCUUCCCUGGAAAAAAUUAGCGACAUGUUUGAUUUUAAAUAGCGGAAGCGUGCGGGAAUAAGCUUUUCUGUGUGGGUUCGGAAGUUUGCUAAAACACUCUGUGAGCUGC
ensembl:lncRNA